GCUUGCGCAGGGUGGUACUGCUAUGGGAACUGGAUUGAAUUCCAAAAAAGGGUAUGAUUUUUUCUGGGUUUUAAGCAAUGUCGCUUUAUGGCUAUUUGUCAGUGUGAUUUGUUGUGGUAGUUAUGUACUCAUCAUUUCUUACAAUCUUCAUAUCUGGGAUACUGUUUCUUCUUUUCUUUGCUUUUUUGAGUUUACAUUUGCCUUGAUAUUUGUUAAGCUUGAUGCAUUUGUACUUCUUGUAGUGUCUCCUUCAGCAUAUCUCUUGUAAAAAUUGCUGCUGCAAUAGCUGAUUUAUUCAAUUUUCUUUUACUGGCAAGAAACCAAAUAUUUCAAUGUAGAAAUGGUGGCAUGGAUAGGAAGAAGAUCAUUGCCAUAGAUUGACUUGUAGCAAUCUGCUCCAACUACAACUAGAUCGAACACUGAGCUCUGAUUUUUCAAUCAAAUAUUUCCGCAACACAUCAUCUUGAUUUUGGUAAAGAGACUGCAUGGUGGGGACCACCUGUGAACACAGAUAAAAAAGAUGAUCUUAGAACUGUGAUGUCCUAUCUACAAAGUAACCCAAAAUUUUCAUGCAUAGGUCUUUGGGGACGAUUUAUGGGUUCUGUCACAAGAUAGUUAAU